GACGAACGCUGGCGGCGUGCUUAACACAUGCAAGUCGAACGGAAAGGCUCCAGCUUGCUGGAGUACUCGAGUGGCGAAAGGGUGAGUAACACGUGGGUAAUCUGCCCUGCACUCUGGGAUAAGCCUGGGAAACUGGGUCUAAUACUGGAUAUGACCUUUCUCCUUAUGGGGUUUGGUGGAAAGUUUUUCGGUGUAGGAUGAGCUCGCGGCCUAUCAGCUUGUUGGUGGGGUGAUGGCAUACCAAGGCGACGACGGGUAGCCGGCCUGAGAGGGUGAUCGGCCACAUUGGGACUGAGAUACGGCCCAGACUCCUACGGGAGGCAGCGGUGGGGAAUAUUGCACAAUGGGCGGAAGCCUGAUGCAGCGACGCCGCGUGGGGGAUGACGGCCUUCGGUUUGUAUACCUCUUUCAGCAGGGACGAAGCGUAAGUGACGGUACCUGCAGAAGAAGCACCGGCUAACUAUGUG
rnacentral:rRNA from 1 species